rnacentral:rRNA from 1 species
UACGUAGGGGGCAAGCGUUGUUCGGAAUUACUGGGCGUAAAGGGCUCGUAGGCGGCCAACUAAGUCAGACGUGAAAUCCCCAGGCUCAACCUGGGAACUGCGUCUGAUACUGGAUGGCUUGAAUCCGGGAGAGGGAUGCAGAAUUCCAGGUGUAGCGGUGAAAUGCGUAGAUAUCUGGAGGAACACCGGUGGCGAAGGCGGCAUCCUGGACCGGUAUUGACGCUGAGGCGCGAAAGCCAGGGGAGCAAACGGG